ensembl:lncRNA
AUUUUAUUCAUCACUUAACUGAUUUAAACAUAUUUGACUAAAGGAUUUUUAGUGUGUUUUCCUGUCUUUUCUGCUUUCACUUCCCAUCUUCAUAACUACUUUGAGACCACUGGAGUAAUCUAUCACUUUGCCUCCCUUCACCAAGAUGCCUCUCCUUAAGUGUAAGAGAUUAUUCUUUUAUAUGAUUGACUCAAAGUUUGCUGAGGAACAAGUCCAGGCAAGUCCUGGGCAAAGGUACAGAAAUCUUCUGUCUGGAGGACACUGAUGGACAGGUCCUGGCUAAGGGUUGUGAAAUCCUUUAAGGAGCACAGAUGGACAAGGCCGGGGGCAACGAGAGAGGGAUAAGCUGCUGAUAAUGGCCGGGAAACGGUCUUUUGUGUGGACUUAUCUCGAGGAAGAUGGCCAUCUCAGGAGGUAUGCACAUGACUCUUGCUCAAGCAGCCAGGGAUGUCACGUAGGCAGGAAAAAAAGGAGGAUUAAAGAGGGUCCAACAACCGACAGACUAGAGGGGUUUUCUGCCAUCUGAUCUCUCACCACGACAGACUAGAGGGGUUUUCUGCCAUCUAAUCUCUCACCACGACAGGCUGGAGAAGGGUUUUCUGCCAUCAGAUCCCUCACCACGACGGACUCGAGGUUUCUGCCUUCAGAUCCUUCUCUACGGACUGUAUGCUGACAGGCUUCCCUGGGCCUGCUACCUGAGACCUGCUGCUUCCUCCCAGACUUACUCUGCGGCUUCUUCCUGGACCCUCCCAGUACCUGCACCCUCUCGUUGCCCAAGACCGGCCUCGCUGCUCCUGCCCUUCAGCCUCGGACCAUCGGAACGUCGUGCAACAGGACUACUGCCGGAUCCUGGUGGUGACUAUCCCUGCUUUACGCAAUUCUUGCUUCUUUCUAUCUUUUCUAUCGCUCGCCUUCCCUUCCCCAUCACCCCAAUCCGUAAUAGUGUCUGUCCUCUCCUUUCCUCAUCUCCCUUAUUAACAUUUGUAAUAAACUGGUCGAACCAACAUUUGAACCGUUGUUUCUUAAUCUCACGCCGGGCAUACAUAUUUCAGAGAACCUCCUCU